AUUGAACGCUGGCGGCAGGCUUAACACAUGCAAGUCGAACGAGUGGCGGACGGGUGCGUAAUGUCUGGGAAACUGCCUGAUGGAGGGGGAUAACUACUGGAAACGGUAGCUAAUACCGCAUACCAUCAGAUGUGCCCAGAUGGGAUUAGCUAGUAGGUGGGUUAACGGCUCACCAAGGCGACGAUCCCUAGCUGGUCUGAGAGGAUGACCAGGCACAAGGGAGUGUAGACACGGUCCAGACUCCGACGGGAGGCAGCAGUGGGGAAGAUUGCACAAUGGGCGCAAGCCUGAUGCAGCCAUGCCGCGUGUAUGAAGAAGGCCUUCGGGUUGUAAAGUACUUUCAGCGAGGAGGCGUUACUCGCAGAAGAAGCACCGGCUAACUCCGUGCCAGCAGCCGAGGUAAUAC
rnacentral:rRNA from 1 species